ACAGCUCGCUGGGAAGCCGAACGCGUUGUGCAAAGGCAGGAUGGAAAAAACAGGGAUGUGAGUGACCUUUCCCAUGUGAUAUGAAGUCUGUCAUGUAUUGUGAACGUCCCGUCCUACUCAAAGCAAACAGCUAGAGAGGAGACAUCCUUUUCUUCUCCAUCCAUCCAUCCUUGGGACUUUCCGCUCCUCUUUGACCCCUGGUACCACCUUCCUUCUGGUUGCAGCGGAGGGAGGAAAUCUGCUCAGUUGAGAUGCCUGGGAAGAAACGUAUUAACUUGAGUAAUCAGCAUGAUACACCGGGAUACUGAAGGCUUUCGAGAAGCAUGUAAAACAACCUCACCCCUGAAUCUUGCACGGACUGAAUACUGCAGUGGAUGGAGAAAGCUUCCAAGGGAAUCGUGCAGAGGCCGGAGGAAGUUUUCAGGCUAGUUACUAUUUAACGUGAAUUGCUGCAAAGACACAGUGCUCUCCUUCCCUAAAACGAACGGGACUUUGACGGGGCGAAAUCAGGAGAGUUUGGUGGCCAAUGAACGCCGGCUCUCGGAGUGUUUUCUCCGUAAUCCUGCACAACUCGACCACCCACCUCACCGCAGGCUCAGAUGCACAGGGGAACGCCACAGGAGAGUGAGCAAAGCUGUCUUCACCUUCUCAGCCUCCUCACAGGCUCUGCAAAGAGUCAAAAUAACUUUCAGGUUGCCUCCUCCCCUGGCAGAGGAGGAAAAGGGAUUUCUUUUUCAUCCGUGUUAUGGCCCCAGGCUGGCUGUUCGGUGACCGGAUCAGACCCCAGCCAAGGUGACGCCCUGCUGUGCUCUGCCCAGGGGAAGAAGCAACAGUGGCCUGAUGAGUUUUCCUUGCUGUUUGUGUAAGGCUCUAAAGAUGAACUGCACUCGUCGGUAGCUGUGGGUUGCUUUUCCACCUGUAGCUGGAUGUUUGUAAGAUAUAAAGAAGACAUACGAUGGAAACAGAAAUGUUUUUUCUUCUCUCUGAUGCCUGCUGAAGGAUCGUGGAGUUUCUCUGGGCACGUUUCCAGCUUUGUGAAAGGAUAAUACAGUGCUGAUGAUUUUCAGUACGUACAACUGUAACAAGUGCAUGUGGUUUCCAUGUGGAACUGAAAGCUUGUGCUAAUGUCCUCCCAGGAGGGGAAAACCGCAGCCCCAUGCAGAGUGCACUUCUCAACGUUAUGCGAGACAAGUAACAACAUCAGCUUUCUGUGGAAAUCUCAUCUUGUCCUCUCCUGACAUCUUUAUGGCAUGCCAAAUAUAGGGGGAUUGCUGGAGAUGGGCCUGUGAAGUGGCAAGCCCAGAGAUCAUGUCAGGAUACACACUGGAGCAAUAGCCAGGGGCACCAGCAGAGCCAGGCUGCUACGAGCACGUGUCUGACCACCGUCCUGCAAUGGCAGCCAAAGUUUGUCAAUACCAGGGCAGAAAACAUCGUGUUGUACGUACAGGAACUCGUCCUGAAUUUCUGAAAGGAUUUAUUGCUGAGCUAACACCUUCCAGCACAGAGCAUCCUGCUCCGACGCGGUGGCCAUAGCAGUGAUGCUAAUGUGUUGUCCUUAUGGAGAGAGAGAUUUAUGCUGGGACCUGCUGCCCUGAUGCACUGCAUCCCCUACAAACCCCAUGGUCAUCCUUGGCGCAGAGACUCCCUUCUGACCAACCCAAGCCCUGCUGAGUUCCAGUUAAGUGCAUUUUUACUGAUAUUGUGGAUGAAGUGCUUUACUCAGAGGCUUUUCUGUUCCCCCAAGGGCUUCAUUGGCAUGCCCAGGCCACAGGCUUCUCUCACGCUUGCCCAGCUCUCAGAAAGAGGAGGAGAAAUAAACUUGGAGAGACGCUGGCUUCUGCAGGGGAAGGAUUAAAGCACCCGGCGAUUUCUGAGAACUCCCCUCUGCAGUGAUGACAAAUAUCCUGACACAACUGGAGAAAGACAAAGCUGUCCCCUGAGUAGGAUCAGGGCUGGCUAGCACAGCAGGAAGAACUAGAUGGGAUUCUCUGAGGUUUUUCUUUCUCUGAAAAGAACAGGCCAUGCCUCGGAGAGUCCUUCUUACCAAGUGAUGCUUCCCUCCGAAAGCCAAAGGCCUCUUCAACAAAGGAUAAGUUAUCCAGUUCCUUUUUAUUUACCCCCAUUAUUCACAGUCGGUUGUAUUUGGCUAAGGCAUGCCAUUGAGAAAGGCACCGUCUGGGGCUGAAGACAUCAAGAAAUGCAGAUCUAUCAUCUCCCAUGACUCUUCUCCCAUCUUUUCACCGUCACUGCAGAUGCAGUCCCUGCUCCCUUUCCAACUGAAACCUUCCAGGACACGUUUUCCCACUGCGUAGAUACCAACUGUAACUGCAACUUUCCACACGGCUCGGUGAAACUGGGAUUUGUCUGAAUACUUUCGGCUGGCUGACAUAUCCCCGUCAUCCCGUGCAAUUGCCCUGCCCUCUCUGCUAGCUGCUGUCCUGCCAAUGCUAAUAUUACCCACAGAUUUUAUCAGCGGCCUCGCGUAGGCAUAUUUCAGGAUUGCUGAUCAAAAAGGUCAAUUAGCAUUGCGAUAUUUCUCACCUAAUAAAAAUUAUUGGAGCCGAUUCCAAAAUUCUUGAGAUUCCGAAGGCAUGAAAGCUUUCCUUUAAAAGGAAAGGAGAGAUGAUGCUGCAUGAAGGAAGUUCUCUAGGGUUUGAAAUGUUUGCCUUUUUUGCCCACCCUGGAACCUACAGUUCCAUUCCCUCACAUCAUAGCACCUGGGGGAUUUGUGUAGAGGAGGGUGAGGAAGGUUUGGUUGUGCUGCUUGGGUUUUUUGUCUUUUUUCAUGGGGGGUGGGGAGAUGGAGAAUGUGCCAGCCUCUGGAAAUGCUGCUCCUCAACGGGAGUUCAACAGCCUUGUUGGUUUUGAGAACAUGUCAAAGGGCGAGAAUAGACAAACUCAUGCUGCGACACAAAUACAAAAGCCCUGGGAAAUUCAGGAGUGGGUAGAUCUGGGGUCUCCCCUGCUCCUAAAUUGAAAUAGUCCAGGCAAUAGCACUGACACUGCUUAUCUUCCAACACUUUUCUGCUCCAUCACCCCGAAACGUGUGUGUGAGGCUCCUGCAGCCACUUGGGUGCUCUCGCAGGGGCUGUGCUGCCAGCAGAGUAUUUUCUGCUUCAGGAGUUUGGUGUUGACAGUGUUAUAUU